UCCCUGGUGGUCCAGUGGUUAAGACUCUCAGCUUCCAAGGCAGGCGGCCAGGGUUCGAACCCUGUUCGGGGAA
rnacentral:tRNA from 1 species